ACUCCUACGGGAGGCAGCAGUGGGGAAUAUUGCACAAUGGGGGAAACCCUGAUGCAGCCAUGCCGCGUGUGUGAAGAAGGCCUUCGGGUUGUAAAGCACUUUCAGUAGGGAGGAAGGUAGUGUAGUUAACACCUGCAUUAUUUGUACGUUACCUACAGAAGAAGCACCGGCUAACUCCGUGCCAGCAGCCGCGGUAAUACGGGAGGGUGCGAGCGUUAAUCGGAAUUACGUGGGCGUAAAGCGCAUGCAGGCGGCCUGUUAAGUCAGAUGUGAAAGCCCGGGGCUUAACCUCGGAAUUGCAUUUGAAACUGGCAGGCUAGAGUCUUGGUAGAGGGGGUUAGAAUUUCAGGUGUAGCGGUGAAAUGCGUAGAGAUCUGAAGGAAUACCGAGU
rnacentral:rRNA from 1 species